rnacentral:rRNA from 1 species
AUGGUGGCCAAGCUCAACACGGGGCUCUUCAAUACGCAGGCCCGCCGCAUCACACUCUCCUGCACCAGGGACCUGUGCGAGUGGGACAACAAGGAGGCCGAUUGCGGCCACAUCUGCAAGGAGACGAAACCUUGGUGCUGCGAUGGCGUCCUCUCCCACAAGGGAUUCCUGUGGUGGUUCGACCUCUCUUCUUGUAUACUUGCCUGCGACCCCUUCCUGGAUACACCGCCGUUUUACCAAAUCAUGUUCCCGCAUGUCCCUGACCCGCUGCGCGCAGCAUGGUUCCCAGUUCAAGGCGACAAAUACCGCUGCUUAAAGGUCAGCAAAGGCCGUCUACGGUACGUGCAGAUCCAUGGCGAACCCCCCCUGGUCAGCAUGUGGACGCUGUCCUCCAACAAUCCGUCGGACGCGGCCUGGGAGCUUAAGCUCAAGGUGCACUUGCCUGAUAUCUGGAGCCACCGGACCUACAAGUCUAGUAUGCUUCCGGAGGUCGUCCCCACGGUUGCGCUCGUCCACCCAAUGAACGCCAACAGGGCUUACUUCUUCCUGGGCCACCACAUCUUCUGCGUCAAUCUGAAGAAAAAGAAACUGAGGCAGUGUCUCGAGUUGAACAACCAGGAGCUGCCGGCACUCUCCUCCCUCGUCGUCCAUUCCUGGAAUUUGCCGGCAGGGACCACGAAAAUCCAUCUCUCUGGGUCUGACAAGUCUCAUGUCCCUGGGGUUCAUUUCCUGGGUCACUAUGACUCGGUGGAUGGUUUUCUUGAGAAAGCAUUAGCUGUCAUGAGCAGGUCGUGUCCCGAAUUGUUUGGCAUGGGUCUGGAUGAACUUGAAGAAGACGAAGAUCAAUCUGUGACCAUGGACGAAUCUGAUGAGGGAGAUGACUCUGAGAUGGAGUAA